rnacentral:lncRNA from 1 species
UUAUUGAUGUGGAUCAUGGAAUUAUUUGCGAAAAUGUUCCCAUACCUACACCAACGGGAGAAGUGGUGGCUUCCAGGCUAAACUUCAAAGUAAGAUGAUAUUCAAAAAUCUUCUGAUUGUUGCCAUCACACUAAUAAAAAACAACACAGAAUUCAUGUACAUUUCUUAAAUGCAUGGAGGAGCAUAUGGAAAGGAGGGGAAAUCAAGGAACGUAUGCACAGUGGCUCAAUUACAGAAGCAGUUAAUUCCUCAGAAGAAAGAAAGAGAAAUUUGAUGUCUACUGCUUUAUUGCCAGGUUGAAAAUUAAAAUUACAGUUCACUGAGAGCCUAUACAAGGUUCCUAAACGGUUUUUCACACCGGGUUUUACCUCACCUGAAAAAACAGGCCAAGAGAUUGUGAGGAUCCAUAAUUAGUGUUUUAAUCCAUUUGGCAGGACUCAGUGUUUUUCACGGUCUGUGAUACUGGGAUCUGCGUCUUCACUGUCAUGUGUUAAACCUUUAAGUCUUGUCCAAAUCAUGUCAUUACCUAGAGAAUCCUUCUGUGAAUUCCAGGCAGGUUGCCAUCUUUCUGCUUCCGCCUCCUCACCUUGACAAUGGGGAGAAUAACGGUAACCUGCCUUUUGGAUGUGAGGAUUAAAUGAGACAGUUGGUGCAAAGCAGUCGGCGCAGGAUCUGGCACAAAGUGAAGCCUUCAAUAAAUGAUGAUUACAGUAGUUUUGACUUCCCUCCAGUCGGAAUAUCGUUGAGUUGAAGUUAGUGGCUAUGUCACAGCUGUGUCUCAGGCUGGUGUCUGCCGCCCUGAGCCAAGCCGUAAAAAUCCCUAGAAUAACUUUGCAAAAGCCUGUUAGCCUCUGGAGGCUCCUACACUUCUUUAUUUUAUUUUGCUUUAUUUUGUUUUAUUUUAUUUUAUUUUACUUUAUUGCAGUGACAGUGGAUUCUAACAUCACGUAGCUUUCCAGAGGUACGUUGUAAUACAUUUCGAAUUCUGUGUAGAUUACGUCGUGUUCACCACCCCAAAACUAAUUAUAGUCCGUCACCUCACAUGUGAGCCUCAUCGCCCCUUUUGCUCUCUCCCCUCCCCCCCUCCCCCUACGGUAACCACCAAUCCAAUCUCCGUUGCUCUGUGCGUGUUCGUCAUUGUUUUUAUCAUGUACUUAUGAGUGAGAUCACACGGUGUUUGACUUUCUCCCUCUGAUUUAUUUCACUUCACAUAAUACCCUCAAGGUCCAUCCACGUUGUCACAAAUGGCCGGAUCUCAUCGUUUCUUAGGGCCGAUGGCAUUCCAUUGUGUAUACAUACCACAUCUUCUUGAUCCAUUCUUCCCUUGAUGGGCACCUAGGUUGCUUCCAAGUUUUGGCUGUUGUGAAUAAUG